AGAGAAGCCAGGCACACAGAGCCUGGUCCCUUCCUGGCAGCCCCGAGUCCGUGGGGUUGAGAAUUCUGAUGGCCCUGACCAGAGAGCAGAGGCACCUGGUGGGCAGGGACAGGG